UACAGGGGGGGCAAGCGUUGUUCGGAAUUACUGGGCGUAAAGGGUUCGUAGGUGGCCAACUAAGUCAGACGUGAAAUCCCUCAGCUUAACUGGGGAACUGCGUCUGAUACUGGAUGGCUUGAGUGUAGGAGAGGAAUGCGGAAUUCCAGGUGUAGCGGUGAAAUGCGUAGAUAUCUGGAGGAACACCGAUGGCGAAGGCGGCAUUCUGGACUACAACUGACACUGAGGAACGAAAGCCAGGGGAGCAAACGGG
rnacentral:rRNA from 1 species